rnacentral:rRNA from 1 species
GAUGAACGCUGGCGGCGUGCCUAAUACAUGCAAGUCGAGCGAACGGACGAGAAGCUUGCUUCUCUGAUGUUAGCGGCGGACGGGUGAGUAGCACGUGGAUAACCUACCUAUAAGACUGGGAUAACUUCGGGAAACCGGAGCUAAUACCGGAUAAUAUUUUGAACCGCAUGGUUCAAAAGUGAAAGACGGUCUUGCUGUCACUUAUAGAUGGAUCCGCGCUGCAUUAGCUAGUUGGUAAGGUAACGGCUUACCAAGGCAACGAUGCAUAGCCGACCUGAGAGGGUGAUCGGCCACACUGGAACUGAGACACGGUCCAGACUCCUACGGGAGGCAGCAGUAGGGAAUCUUCCGCAAUGGGCGAAAGCCUGACGGAGCAACGCCGCGUGAGUGGUGAAGGUCUUCGGAUCGUAAAACUCUGUUAUUAGGGAAGAACAUAUGUGUAAGUAACUGUGCACAUCUUGACGGUACCUAAUCAGAAAGCCACGGCUAACUACGUG